rnacentral:misc_RNA from 1 species
CAAAAUACUUGCCCAAUAUGGGAAUAGAUAAGCUGAGCCAUGUGCAUGCGUAAAUACAAAAGGGUGAGUGUGUGUUUGUUCACAUGUUGAUUUACACAUAAAUGGACGUGCAUUUUGUAGAAUAGCACAAACAAAUGCAAGAUCACAUGCAUCCAAAGAUGAGCAACAAACUUUUUCAUCAACAACAAAGUUCAUUAAACACAAACAAGGGGCAGAUUGCAGACCUAUCCAUCCAUGGCGUGCUUGCAGCAAU